GUUAUAGGAUCAAGCGAAUAAGUGCAUGUGGUGGAUGCCUUGGCGAUUACAGGCGAAGAAGGACGUACAAGCCUGCGAAAAGCUCUGGGGAGCUGGCAAUGAAGCUUUGAUCCAGAGAUGUCCGAAUGGGGAAACCCACUCCGCAAGGAGUAUCCCACGCUGAAUAUAUAGGCGUGAGGAAGCGAACCCGGCGAACUGAAACAUCUCAGUAGCCGGAGGAAAAGAAAUCAACCGAGAUUCCCAAAGUAGUGGCGAGCGAAAUGGGAACAGCCUGCAAGUGAUAGCGAUUAGGUUAGCGGAAGCCGCUGGAAAGUGGCGCCAUAGGGGGUGAUAGCCCCGUACGCGAAAACGUGGUCGUGGUACUAAGCUUGCGACAAGUAGGGCGGGGCACGAGAAAUCCUGUCUGAAUAUGGGGGGCCCAUCCUCCAAGGCUAAAUACUCGUAAUCGACCGAUAGUGAACCAGUACCGUGAGGGAAAGGCGAAAAGAACCCCGGGAGGGGAGUGAAAUAGAUCCUGAAACCGCAUGCAUACAAACAGUGGGAGCCCCUUCGUGGGGUGACUGCGUACCUUUUGUAUAAUGGGUCAGCGACUUACGUUCAGUAGCAAGCUUAACCGCAUAGGGGAGGCGUAGGGAAACCGAGUCUGAUAAGGGCGAUAGUUGCUGGACGUAGACCCGAAACCAAGUGAUCUAUCCAUGGCCAGGAUGAAGGUGCGGUAACACGCACUGGAGGUCCGAACCCACUAAUGUUGAAAAAUUAGGGGAUGAGCUGUGGAUAGGGGUGAAAGGCUAAACAAACUUGGAAAUAGCUGGUUCUCUCCGAAAACUAUUUAGGUAGUGCCUCAAGUAUCACCGACGGGGGUAAAGCACUGUUAUGGCUAGGGGGUCAUCGCGACUUACCAAACCAUUGCAAACUCAGAAUACCGUCGAGUGCGAGCUUGGGAGACAGACAUCGGGUGCUAACGUCCGGUGUCAAGAGGGAAACAACCCAGACCGCCGAUUAAGGUCCCGAAGACAUAGUUAAGUGGGAAACGAGGUGGGAAGGCUCAGACAGCCAGGAGGUUGGCUUAGAAGCAGCCAUCCUUUAAAGAAAGCGUAAUAGCUCACUGGUCGAGUCGUCCUGCGCGGAAGAUGUAACGGGGCUCAAACUAUGCACCGAAAUCGCGGAUAUCCGAAAGGAUAUGGUAGGAGAGCGUUCUGUAAGCCGAUGAAGGUGUCCUGAGAAGGAUGCUGGAGGUAUCAGAAGUGCGAAUGCUGACAUGAGUAGCGAUAAAGGGCGUGAAAAGCGCCCUCGCCGAAAGCCCCAGGUUUCCUGCGCAACGUUCAUCGGCGUAGGGUGAGUCGGCCCCUAAGGCGAGGCUGAAAAGCGUAGUCGAUGGGAAACAGGUCAAUAUUCCUGUACCUCUUGGUAAUGCGAUGGGGGGACGGAGAAGGUUAGGUCAGCCGGGUGUUGGACGUCCCGGUUCAAGCGUGUAGGCAGGUCUCUUAGGCAAAUCCGGGAGAUCAAUGCUAAGGCGUGAUAACGAGUGGCUUUAUGCUGCGAAGUGAUUGAUACCCUGCUUCCAAGAAAAGCCUCUAAGCUUCAGUUACCCAGAGACCGUACCGCAAACCGACACAGGUGGGCAGGAUGAAAAUUCUCAGGCGCUUGAGAGAACUCAGGAGAAGGAACUCGGCAAAUUUGCACCGUAACUUCGGGAGAAGGUGCGCCCUGAUAGGUUGUAGCCCCUCGCGGGUGAAGGCUGAAAGGGUUGCAGUGAACUGGUGGCUGCGACUGUUUAAUAAAAACACAGCACUCUGCAAACACGAAAGUGGACGUAUAGGGUGUGACGCCUGCCCGGUGCCGGAAGGUUAAGUGAUGGGGUGCAAGCUCUUGAUCGAAGCCCCGGUAAACGGCGGCCGUAACUAUAACGGUCCUAAGGUAGCGAAAUUCCUUGUCGGGUAAGUUCCGACCUGCACGAAUGGCGUAACGAUGGCCACACUGUCUCCUCCUGAGACUCAGCGAAGUUGAAAUGGUUGUGAAGAUGCAAUCUCCCCGCGGUUAGACGGAAAGACCCCAUGAACCUUUACUGUAGCUUUGCANNNNNNNNNNNNNNNNNNNNNNNNNNNNNNNNNNNNNNNNNNNNNNNNNNNNNNNNNNNNNNNNNNNNNNNNNNNNNNNNNNNNNNNNNNNNNNNNNNCCCAAGGGUAUGGCUGUUCGCCAUUUAAAGUGGUACGUGAGCUGGGUUUAAAACGUCGUGAGACAGUUUGGUCCCUAUCUGCCGUGGGCGCUGGAAAUUUGAAGGGGGCUGCUCCUAGUACGAGAGGACCGGAGUGGACGAACCUCUGGUGUACCGGUUAUGACGCCAGUCGUAUUGCCGGGUAGCUAAGUUCGGAAGAGAUAAACGCUGAAAGCAUCUAAGCGUGAAACUCGCCUUAAGAUGAGAUUUCCCCGGGGACUUGAUCCCCCUGAAGGGUCGUGGUAGACCACCACGUUGAUAGGCUGGAUGUGGAAGCGCAGCAAUGCGUUAAGCUAACCAGUACUAAUUGCCCGUGCGGCUUGAUCCUAUAACCUUGAGCAG
rnacentral:rRNA from 1 species